AACGAACGCUGGCGGCAUGCCUAACACAUGCAAGUCGAACGAGACCUUCGGGUCUAGUGGCGCACGGGUGCGUAACGCGUGGGAACCUGCCCUUAGGUUCGGAAUAACUCCCCGAAAGGGGUGCUAAUACCGGAUAAUGUCUUCGGACCAAAGAUUUAUCGCCUUUGGAUGGGCCCGCGUUGGAUUAGCUAGUUGGUAGGGUAAAAGCCUACCAAGGCGACGAUCCAUAGCUGGUCUGAGAGGAUGAUCAGCCACACUGGGACUGAGACACGGCCCAGACUCCUACGGGAGGCAGCAGUGGGGAAUAUUGGACAAUGGGCGAAAGCCUGAUCCAGCAAUGCCGCGGGAGUGAUGAAGGCCUUAGGGUGGUAAAGCUCUUUUACCCGGGAUGAUAAUGACAGGACCGGGAGAAUAAGCUCCGGAGAACUCCGU
rnacentral:rRNA from 1 species